rnacentral:rRNA from 1 species
GACGAACGCUGGCGGCGUGCCUAAUACAUGCAAGUAGAACGCACAGUUUAUACCGUAGCUUGCUACACCGUAGACUGUGAGUUGCGAACGGGUGAGUAACGCGUAGGUAACCUGCCUGGUAGCGGGGGAUAACUAUUGGAAACGAUAGCUAAUACCGCAUAAUAUUAAUUAUUGCAUGAUAAUUAAUUGAAAGGUGCAAUUGCACCACUACCAGAUGGACCUGCGUUGUAUUAGCUAGUAGGUGAGGUAACGGCUCACCUAGGCGACGAUACAUAGCCGACCUGAGGGGGUGAUCGGCCACACUGGGACUGAGACACGGCCCAGACUCCUACGGGAGGCAGCAGUAGGGAAUCUUCGGCAAUGGACGAAAGUCUGACCGAGCAACGCCGCGUGAGUGAAGAAGGUUUUCGGAUCGUAAAGCUCUGUUGUAAGAGAAGAACGGGUGUGAGAGUGGAAAGUUCACACUGUGACGGUAUCUUACCAGAAAGGGACGGCUAACUACGUG